GGGGGCGGCAGGGAAGAGUUCCAGGAGGUGUCUGGACAAAGAUUUGAUGGAUGUGCAAGAAUUGGGCUGAUGCUUAGGAGGGGCGAUGAGGUGGGUCCAGAAGAAGGGGGGUGAACGGUGUGAGCAAAGACCGUGAGGCUGGAGGCUGGCCACGGGAGGUGUGAGGGGUAGGGGCAGGGUGGGAGGUGGGCUCGCGGGUGGGCUGGGGUCAUGAAGGGCCUCAGGCGCUCUGCUAUUGGGUUCCAAGGCUAUCCUGAGAACAGGGGUGAGGGGGGAUUGCCGUGGGGGGUUAAAGCCUUGUCAUGUUCGCUUUCGGGAGGUAAAAACAACAGGUGGCCUUUAUGGAGACGCUGCCCAGAGCCAGGUCUGUGCCAGGCUCCUGUUGGGGGUCGUCAUGCGGAAUCCUGACUCUGACCAUCCGAGGCAUAGGGACCGUGGAGAUUUGCAUUUCACAGAUGAGGAAACAGGCUCCAGGCUCCUCGCCGGGACAGUGUCUCCUUGGGUGCGUGCUGGAUCCCUGGGGGACGUGGCACAUCCCCAGGCUUGCUAAACAUUGGGCUCUGGUCCUGGGGUUUGGAGGAGGGGGACCCUGGGAGUUGGUGGCCUGUCCCAGCCUGAGCUGGCAAGAUUCCGAAUGCCAGGCCCCUCAAGUGUGCAACAGGGCACAGGGUGACCUCAUGUGGGCAGGUGGGUGCUGUUCUGUACACACCUGGGGCCGCCGCUGGGAGAGUUCUGGAAGGUGGGGUGAGGGGACCCAUGGGAAGCUAGGGCCUUAG
rnacentral:lncRNA from 1 species